UGGACGAUAAAGCCGAGGCUGGACUCUCGUCCCGGUGGCGAUGGGGAAGCCAGGGGACACCACCCUUUUGUAUCAUUCUGCUUGUGAUCCGAGGACCCGAGGCAGCAAGGAGGACCCGGGGCAGGGAGGCCACUGUCACGGCUCGAGAGCUCUCCGUCUGCAGAGAGAAGCAGAAUCACCAUCAGCUUCUAAGACGAUCUCCUGAAUGAGUGGGUGACGUGAGGAACCUCAACUCUCGGAGGCCCCGUCCUCGCAGGCACAGACCCUGAGACCCUGGGCUCUCGCCCCCGGUGACCUAUCUCAGGCAAAAUAUUGAUCAUGCUGGAACUGUCACAUCAGCUCUGGGACAAAAGCUUUGCUUCCGUAACGGGUUGAACUGGUGCCACGACCUCCAUCGAGGAAACCAGCCAACACACCAUUUGGGGAUUCGAGAAUGCUGAAGUGUUCAGCGGUACAGCCUUCCUUUCACAACAGCCAAAAAGUGGAAACAACCCACAUGUCCAUUGACGGAUGGAUGGAUAAACAAAAUGUGGUCCAUGCCUGCAGUGGAAUAUGAUUCAGCCGUAAAAAGGGCUGAAGCCCUGACACGUGCUACAAUACGGAUGAACCUUGAAAACAUCAUGUCCUGUGAAAGAAGGCAGACCCAAAAGGACAAAAACUGCAUGAUUCUAUUUACAUAAAGUACCCCAAAUAUGUAAAUUCAUAGAGACAGAAAGUAGAUUAGAGGUUGCCGAGGGCUGGGGGCGGGCAAAAUGGGGAGUUAUUGCUCAAUGGGGACAGAGUUUCUGUUUGCGAUGAUGACAAAAAGAAAUAGGCGGUGGUGAUGGUUACACGACAGGCGGAUGUGUGAAUGCCAUUGCACUGCACACCUAGAAAGGAUUUACAAGGUAAAUUUUAUGUCAUGUGUAUUUUAUGACAAUUUUUUUAAAUGGGAAGAAAAGUGGCCUUUCUGCUCUUGGUGUAUGGAACUCCCUUCUCCACACUGGGGACGGCCCUCAAGGAAGCUGGGUGGACAGUGUGUAGUUGUGACGGACAUUCUAUCAGCCCUCCACCCCCCCACCCCCUGCCCCAGGCACCCCUUUGAUGGGCAUCUGCAUGGGAAGGACCCCUUCCCCCUUCCUCCCUCCCUCCUUUGCGCUUUACUUUCUUACUUCUGUCCCUCCCCUUCUAAUGUUUUUCUUCCCAAUAUUCAGUUGAGAAAAUGUAACAUCUACCCAAGUAGUGCCCGUUCUCACACACAAAGUGAUGCUUUAUUGAGCCCUCCCUGUGUGGCUGCUGUUCACUGGGCACAGUGAACACAUUUAGCCUCUCAGCAGCCCUCACGGUAGGUACCGUCAUUGCUCCCAUUUCACAGAUGAGAACACUGAGGCUCAGAGUCAGCCAGUAAGUGGAGGCGCUGGCAUGUGAACCGUGCUGUCAGGCUGCUGUGUCUUCUCCUGGUCCCUGUCCCUUUCUGUUCCCUACAUUAGUGGGUAUAGAUUCACCACAGACCUAUGGAGACCAAGUGAGAGCACGCUAUUCAUGGCGUGCUUUUCCCACUAGGCUCUGAACAGAGGCAGCCUUUUCUGAUCUCCCUUCACUUCAUUUCCUCCCGGGAAUGUCUGAAGGCACUGAAGGAGAGCAGAACCCCUUUCCUCUACCCCUCGAGUGUAAACAUUUCAGCACCAUGCUGCCAGAGGAGGAAAAAAAAUCCCCACCUCCUGUUAAAAAACCAGAAAACCAGGCUGUGGAGAAUCAAAGGGAGCUUUGUACCGGGAGCCACCGUGGAGAGGGGAGAUGGGGGCCCUUCCAGGGCCAAGCCUCACCCUACCCCCGCCCCCGUAAGACUGGAAUCACAGCCUGAUGGCUCAGGAGAACAGGCAGGACCAAAGCCGGGAUCAACUGUGGAUCCAGCUCUGAGCACUGAGAUGGGUCUUUCCUCGCAGGCAGGGCUGAGGUUGCCAGCUAGGGCAGGGGGCUUGGGUUCUGCUACAAGGGGUUGAACUUGCUUAACUGGGGCCCCCAGAACAGUGAGUCUCCCCUUAAUUCUGUGGUGAGAGCUCCCCUCACCCCACCCCAUCCCCUGCCUGCUUCUUUAUCUCAGGUGACUUGAAAACAAAACAAUUUUCAUGUUAAGAAAUAGAGGCCUGUGAAACUUUGGUGGCGGAGGGAAAGUGGGCACAUUUAGUCAAACCUAUAGGAAGGGGCUUCGGGGCUUUCAAGAGGCUGGAAAUCACCACUGACUCUUCUGUCCCCCUAACCACACACUUCAUGGAGGUCUCUUCACAGUAUAGACAGAGAAGGGUGUGGUGGGCUGGGCUCUGGGUAAUUCUGUAGGCACUGUGCUCACGACUCUGGGAAUUUAACACCAGGCACAUAAGGCGCUCUCAUUAUGAACGUUCCCCGAAGAUUCGAAUGAAGUAGGGGACACAGGACACCACCAAGUCAUGCUCAGCUCCCAGGGGACUGAUCACAAGCUAGCAUCGUGCUUCAAAGAUGACCGUACACGCCGUGUGAGUGCCCACCAAGUGCCAGGCACUUACAAUUAUUAGAAGUCGAUUCAUCCCCACUACAGACCAAGGAGGCAGGCACUGUGAGCGCCCAUUUUACAGAUGAGGAAACUGAGGCACAGAAAGGUUAAGUAACUUGCCCAAGAACACACAGAUAGUAAGCCGUAGAUAUGAGAUUCAAAACCAGGCAGUCUGGGAGCCCGUGCACGAAAAUCCUGCAUUACACAUGUGCCCAAAAUAUUGAUGCUUUCAGACAGAGGAAAGCAUGGAGAAGCACACGCCCCUGGGCAGACAGACAGACAUGCAAGCACACACACUAAUAAAAGAUUCCUUCCUUGGACAACCUGCAUGGCAGGAGCCCAGAGAUUCUGCUGUUGCUGUUUGUUUUUUCAUUUUAUUAUGACUUUUAAUUUUAGCAUAGGUUAAGACUCACAAGAAGUUGCUAAAAAAAAAAAAAAAAGUACAGAGUCCUGCCUGCUCUCCUGAAUCCCAUGUACCCUUCACCCAGCUUCCCCCAGUGCUGACCUCUGACACCCAGAGCACGUGUCAAGGUAGGGAAUCCACACAAGGAGGAUGCUAUGAACUCUGGCAGAGACCUUACUCGGAUUUUAGUUUUUAGAGGAGUGAAAACAUAGUAAAAUAGCUCAGCCUUUUGGUUUGAACUGAGGAGGCUGGACUCACCGAGGGCGGCAAUCUGAAAGGAUUUUAAGAUUUAGCAUCUCUACAGGUGUCAUUUCACAGAGCACCCCGCAGCGGGCUCAAGGCUGGGAAAACAGGCUAAGUCUGCCCUUCCCUGGUCCAGACACUCAAAUCCCAGACUGGAAGGGGAGGGGGUGCCAAGGGCCUCAGGGCAGCAAGGAGCAGACCCCGCUCAGGAUUCGAACCUGCUUCCUGCCUACAGUCUGUUCAGGGCAUCCCCACAGCAGUGGAAUAAGAGCCUGGGAGGAGAGCGAGGGCCAGGAGGUGGCAGCUGGAGGUGGGGCGAUUCCACGGGCCCAGAGCUUCACCUGCUGCCUCCAAACCCCGGCCGGCCCGGAGCUGUGAGCAAAGGAUCAAUCUAGGCGGAGGAGGCGCGCCCUGGGGGCAGAGCUGCAGCCUCAGCCGUUUCCUCGGAAGGAGCUUUUUAAAAGGGGAAGCGUCAUCUACAUAUAAUGAAACGCACAGAUCUGCGUUUGACACUCGUCUACACCUGCAUCACUAACAUCCCAGUCAAGAUCUAGAACAUCCCGUCCCCCACCCCCGCAGAGAGAGUCCAGCCUCUUCCGCUUAAUCCCCCCAGAGGUAACCGCUAGGCUGACCUCCGUCACCUAAGCCAGGUCUCCUCCGCUCUAGAAUUGCCCAUGAAUGGAAUCACGUGGUGGUUUUGCAUCCGGCUUCUCUCCCUGCGCCUCGUGAACCGGACACUGGUCCGCGCCGUGUGCCUGCAGCUCCUCUGGGUCACGGGCUAAGGCCUUCAUUGUGUGGACACACCGCCCGUGGUUUACCCACCCACCUGCUGAUGGAUAUUUGGGUAGUUUCCAGAUUCAGCCUGUUACAAAGAAAGCUGCUGUACACAUUCACACAUAGAGCUUCGCGUGCACAUCCGCGCUCCAUCCUCUCGGGUAAUUACCUGGGAGUGGAGCUUCGGGGCUCGGGGGAGGAGUGUGUUGAACUUUACGGAGAGCACUUUGGAGGGAGCUGCUCUUAGCAUCGCUGCCGCUGUUCUAAGCCACCCCAUUCGUGGUCGCUUGUCCCAGCAGCCCCAGGAAAACGAAUACAGCCGACCUUUCCAAGGAAAACCGAGGCCCAGGACAGGACGUGACUGGCAUGGAGUGUUCCUCUUACAGCUCGAGUGAGGACAAGUCCGCGUUUCAGCCCUUCACACAGACCUGGGGGAAAUGCAGACCCGCCCUGGGCCUCGCGGAGGGUGUCUGGGCGAUCGGCCAGCCGCUGUCCCUCCCGGCUCAGCUACAAGCUUCUAUCAAGCGCUACUCUGUGCUCCAUCUGAGCCGCUGAGCCCUCGGGAGGGAUGGGGAACGUCGAUUCGGGUAUCAACAAACCUUUUGGAGCAACUCUCUGAGCCUCCGGUGAUGCAGAGGUGAAUAAACUACUGUUUUGUCCUGUAGAGCCGGUAGUCUGAUGGGCAAAACAGUCGUAAAGAGACAACGAGAGUUAGGACACUGAGUUCUAAGCACCGUAAGGAGGGUGGGUCCUCACUGAGGUCGGGGAGACAGGGGCCGUCGAGGUGACAGUGGGGGAGGGAAGUGGUCUCUGGGCUGAACCUUAAAAGACCAGCACCGAUUAGCCAGGUGGGUGUUGGGGGAAGGGACUGCCAAGAUGGGGAAGAGCCUGCGCAAAGGCCCAGAGGCUCGCCCAGGGGACUGUGAGAGGAAAUAACAAGCAAUGGGCCAGCGGAGGCCAGAUCACGCAAGGCCUCACCUGUCAUGCCGUGGAGGUGAGACCCUGAAAGCCACGGGGGAACUUUGAAGACUUUAAGGAGGAAACUGACAUGCAUAGAUUUGCUCUCUAAAAAAAGAAAAUCACUACAACACAAAACAAAACACCAGGAUGACAGAGUAGAGGGUGGCAGUAUAGGGCAGUGGUUAGAGCGUAGGCCUGGGAAACAGCCUGGGUUCACAUCCUGGCUCUGCCCCUUGUUAUGUGGUCUUGGGCGAGUUUACUCUCUGUGCCUAAGUGUCCUUCCCUGUAAAAUGGGGAUAAAAUUAGUCUCUACGUUAUAAGGUUAUGAGGAGGCUUAGAAGAGUGAAAACCUGAAAGGGGGCUUCCCUGGUGGCGCAGUGGCUGAGAGUCCGCCUGCCGAUGCAGGGGACACGGGUUCGUGCCCCGGUCCGGGAAGAUCCCACAUGCCACGAGCGGCUGGGCCCGUGAGCCAUGGCCGCUGAGCCUGCGCGUCCGGAGCCUGUGCUCCACAACGGGAGAGGCCACAACAGCGAGAGGCCCGCGUACCGCAGAGAGAAAACAACAACAACAACAACAACAACAAAAACCCUGGAAGGUUUAGCAGCCACCUGGCACACGGUAAGAGGUGAAUAAACGGGAACUAUUUUAGGGAGGGGAGUUGGGGUCAUCAUCCAGGUGGUGUGUGAGGGCUGGAGCUAAAGCAGAGGGUGGGUGUGCAGAGGAGGGCGCCCGGACCUGGUCUGGUGAUGCCCCUGACCUAGGCGGCCAAGGGGAGAGACAGGAGCGGGGUCUCCCUGUCGGUGGCCACACUGCCUCCCCGCUGAUCCCAGAAGGUCUGUGCGGAGCGCCCCACCUCCACGUGCGCCAGAUCCGUACAACCUUGGGCAGAGAUUUAUCGAAAAACCAAGAACCAAAGAAAAUGAAGUCAUCAGAAUCACCCCCCCAUUCUCAGGAGCGAGCAGGCCCCGCCUCCAGCGCGUAGGCGCCCAGCGGCGAUCCAGGGCCCCCUCCAGCCCGUUUGCUCUGCAGAAUCCCAACACAUCCCAGCCCAGUGUCGGCUGCCUCCGCGCGGGCCUCACGUGGGCAAACGGACGGGUUUGGAAGAGUGCGCUGGCCGGGUUGAAGGGAUGUUCAGCCCUUCUUUCUCCCACGUGGGGACUGGGAAGGGGAGACGGUGCAGGGAAGGUGGGUUCCCACGCGGAGAAAUAAGGAUACAAAGAUAUGGCCGUUAUCUCCGCCCUCCCCCCCCCACCGACCACGUCCCAUCCUCCAGGAGUUCCUGGACCAGGCUUCUGGGAACCAAACAGAGUAAGCACAGCCUCCGUAUUGAUUCCAUCACAGAGAAACAGAGGUAGUUCCUUCUGUGUGGAAUCUCAGAAGCACGAGGUCAGCUUUCUUGAAAUCAUGACCCAUCAUCUCUGUCACUGAGACCCUGGGGCAAGUCGUGUUUCCGUGAUGCUUGGGGAUUUGCAUUUCUUGGGGCUGGCCUGUGCACUGGGGCCGUGGUGGGUGGGUAGGGCUGUCCUGUGCUCCUGGGGACAGGAGAAUGGCUGGAACUUCCACGUCCUGAACCUGCUGGCAAGAAGAAUCUUUGUUUUAUCUGCUUCAACGAAGCCCUCGUGAAGAAAGUCCUUAAGCUCUUUCCAAACUGCCGUCUUAGCUCAGGACCCAUCCCUCUACCUCCUCUGUGUGACGUUUUCCCUAUUAAGGGAUUUCUAAUGAUUUUUCCCUUGUGAACGUCUUCAGAGGGGUUCCCUGUUUUAUGCAUUAUGUUGGUGUACGUGUGUCCAUAUUCCUUCCAACGGUGUGUCUGUAGAGCUCGCCAGUUGUAGAGGGGGAGCUCAGAUCUCUCUGGGUCACCAAUAACAAUAUUAAUAACGAGGGCACCGACUGGAGAUGCUCCGAGGAGAACCUUCCCAACAUCCCCACUGACACCCCCCCUCCCAAGCCACCCAAAUAAAUCUUAAGUAUCAACAGUCUGCUUUGCUGUGUGUGGUAGGAUGAAUAAAGGCCCCGCAAAGACAGCCACAUCCUAA